rnacentral:rRNA from 1 species
UACAGAGGUCUCAAGCGUUGUUCGGAUUCAUUGGGCGUAAAGGGUGCGUAGGUGGUGCCCUAAGUCUGUUGUGAAAUCUCCCGGCUUAACUGGGAGGGUGCGGUGGAAACUGGGGUGCUUGAGUGUGGGAGAGGUAAGCGGAAUUCCUGGUGUAGCGGUGAAAUGCGUAGAUAUCAGGAGGAACACCGGUGGUGUAGACGGCUUACUGGACCACGACUGACACUGAGGCACGAAAGCGUGGGUAGCAAACAGG